GGGUCAACCCGUUAAGACCCGUUAAAAAAACUAAAUUUACAUUUAUACCCUUAAAACUAAAUUUCAAAAUACUGAAAACCCUAACCCAAAAACAUUAUCCCACCAUUCCCAUUUCCCACGCCGCCCCCCCUUCAGAUUUUAUUUUCUCUUUGUUUUUACAGUCCAGACUCACUGCCUCUCUUCUUCCCAAGCCGUUACCGGCGUGUCCUGGUCUUCAACGUUUCAACGGCGCAGUAGCAGCAGAUGCACAUCCUCGGCCUCUUCUUACGCCGCCCCCCUCUUCGUCUUCAACCCACGCAGCAGCGGUCCACGACCACACCCAGUGGCACACGGCGCCACGCCCACUGCUCAAGCCCACGGCCGAUCCAGUUUCAAAGGAGAUACGAGUGAUGGAUGGUUACCUAGUUUGAGAUUUGAGAUGCUUCCACUGAAUGCUCGCCUCAGUGUUGAAAUUUCUGGGAUCUCUUGUGCGGGUUGCUGAACAGAACAAGAUUGUGAAGAAGCUUUUGGAUUUUAGCACUUGUAUACAUAAAGCUAUACGGGAAGCUUUUGGAAAUAAUGUAAUUUCAGGUUUUUCUGGCCAAAAAUGAAGUUGGAGAAAAACAAGGGCAAGGAGGACGCUCCACCUCAUUCUUGAAGCUCUAAAUUGGUUUAGAUAUGUGUUUUUAUUGUAUUUGGGAUUGUAAAAUUAAUAUAGUUUCUG